ACCUACAUUGGGACACAAAAGAUCACAGUGUCCUCUGUUGUGUGCUUUGUACCCUUCUGGGGGCUGUUCAAGUAUUUUAGCGGAAAAUGUUCCUCUUAUGGAGACCGAGAGGUAUAUUUCUCACCACGUGCUGGCAUUUUGGUAUCUUUCCAGUUAUGAUACACAUUUUCCAGUGUUGGAUUUUUUGAAUGGAUAGGAUAUUUUCUCUCUCUCUCUUGGGAAAAAUUCCCAUUGCCCAUUGGGAAGAUACGCAACAAUAACAACACUCUUAUUCGCUGCGGUGUGUCAAAUUCAUAAGACGUGUUCACUUUCAGGGCGGCCCGGGACUUUAAAAAAAAAGGUCCCGUAAUGGCACGAUCAUGUGUCACCUCCCACUGAGUUUCCUCGAGCGUCGGAGCGAGUUGCGUGUUCUCCUCCUCGUAGGCGCUCAGUCUUCGCUCGAUGAGAUCCCUCUCUCGGUUUAGCGUGGCGAUCUCCUCCUUGAGUUUCUCGUUUUCUGCCUGCGCGAGAUGCAAAGCUCAUCAAGAGGGAACGAUCUAGUCCAUCGUGUUGAAGGACUUGAGGUGUUCUGACCUGGAGUUGGCUGACAUGCAGCUGCAGUGCUUGGCGGCUGUUGGCGGCCAUCUGCGAGGCUUGUUGCAACGACGCGGAGCAUCGGUGGUUCAACUCAUGCAUUUCGUCCGUGCAAUACUUUUGUUUUUCCUCCAAGAACUUGUAGGUGGCCGCUUCCUUCACCUCAUAGCUGACCUGUUGUUGAUUUGGGAGAAAUGUCAGCAAACAUGUUGAUAUGAGACUAAAUCAGUCAUCACACCUUGGACAAAAGGAGAAUUCGGCUUAACCGGAGGUGGGCAAUCCGUCAGUACUGACGGAAAGACCGUCUGUCAGUCGCUGAUAGACGCUCGUUUUGCUGAUGAAUGACAAGAACAUCGAGCGAGAAGACCGAAGAGAAGCUUGAUAAUCGCGAGGGAACACGUGAAAGCAGUUGGCAGAAAAUGUUGGAAGAUGGAAAACAAUAGACUUAGACGGGAAAAGGUUGACUCGCCGUGGCGAUCCUUAACGGGACAAGUGGGAAGGAAAAGAAGAAGUACAAAAAAGUAGCACGUUGAGCCAAAU